rnacentral:rRNA from 1 species
CCUACGGGGUGCAGCAGUGAGGAAUAUUGGUCAAUGGACGAGAGUCUGAACCAGCCAAGUAGCGUGAAGGAUGACUGCCCUAUGGGUUGUAAACUUCUUUUAUAUGGGAAUAAAAUGUUCCACGUGUGGGAUUUUGUAUGUACCAUAUGAAUAAGGAUCGGCUAACUCCGUGCCAGCAGCCGCGGUAAUACGGAGGAUCCGGGCGUUAUCCGGAUUUAUUGGGUUUAAAGGGAGCGUAGGUGGAUUGUUAAGUCAGUUGUGAAAGUUUGCGGCUCAACCGUAACAUUGCAGUUUAAACUGGCAGGCUUGAGUACAGGAGAGGUGGGCGGAAUUCGUGGUGUAGCGGUGAAAUGCUUAGAUAUCACGAAGAACCCCGAUUGCGAAGGCAGUUCACUGGACUGCAACUGACACUGAGUCUCGAAAGUGUGGGUAUCAAACAGGAUUAGAUACCCCGGUAGUC